rnacentral:rRNA from 1 species
UACGGGGGGGGGCAAGCGUUGUUCGGAAUUACUGGGCGUAAAGGGCUCGUAGGCGGCCAACUAAGUCAGACGUGAAAUCCCCAGGCUCAACCUGGGAACUGCGUCUGAUACUGGAUGGCUUGAAUCCGGGAGAGGGAUGCAGAAUUCCAGGUGUAGCGGUGAAAUGCGUAGAUAUCUGGAGGAAUACCGGUGGCGAAGGCGGCAUCCUGGACCGGCAUUGACGCUGAGGAGCGAAAGCCAGGGAGCAAACGGG